UUAUUGAAUAAAUUGCUUGGUUAGAACUUGAAGCAGAGAAACGAUAAAAGUUCUAACCAAGCAAUUUAUUCAAUAAU